GAUGAACGCUGGCGGCGUGCCUAAUACAUGCAAGUCGAGCGAAUGGAUUAAGAGCUUGCUCUUAUGAAGUUAGCGGCGGACGGGUGAGUAACACGUGGGUAACCUGCCCAUAAGACUAGGAUAACUCCGGGAAACCGGGGCUAAUACCGGAUAACAUUUUGAACCGCAUGGUUCGACAUUGAAAGGCGGCUUCGGCUGUCACUUAUGGAUGGACCCGCGUCGCAUUAGCUAGUUGGUGAGGUAACGGCUCACCAAGGCAACGAUGCGUAGCCGACCUGAGAGGGUGAUCGGCCGCACUGGGACUGAGACACGGCCCAGACUCCUACGGGAGGCAGCAGUAGGGAAUCUUCCGCAAUGGACGAAAGUCUGACGGAGCAACGCCGCGUGAGUGAUGAAGGCUUUCGGGUCGUAAAACUCUGUUGUUAGGGAAGAACAAGUGCUAGUUGAAUAAGCUGGCACCUUGACGGUACCUAACCAGAAAGCCACGGCUAACUACGUGCCAGCCGCCGCGGUAA
rnacentral:rRNA from 1 species